rnacentral:lncRNA from 1 species
AACAAGUAUAUAUAAAUAUUUAUUUAUAUAAUACAGUAAUUCCCCGUUUAGUUAGAAAUCGAUGUUGUUUUUGUUGUACGAUUUUGCCUUUUAAAGCCGCUUUAAUAUGAAACUCUACCAUUUACAGAGGGAAAAAAGUAUUUGAUCCUUUGUCAAUUUUUUAAGUUUGUCCAAUCAUAGGAAAAUAACAGUUUGUUAUUUUAAUGGUAGAUUUAUUUUAACACACUCAAAAAUGGAAGGGAAAAAGAGGAACAUUCUUCAGUAUCAAUACAACCAAGGUGAAAAGGUGGAGCAGGGAACCAAAAAUAUUUGUACUGUUUAUGGACCCAAUACAGUAUCGAAUCCAACAGAAAAGUGGUGGUUCCAUUUAUUCCGUACUUGUAAUACCGAAAAUAUCAAUAAAAUAAUGUAAAUUGUUAGUUGAACCCACAUGUAAAAACUUAUUCAAUUCCCCUGGAACUAAAGAUUAGCCAGAAAACCGUUUGGAACCAUUUAAAUCUGAUAAUCCCAACUAUGUUAAUUUUAUUAUCAAAAUAAAGUAAAAAGUAAGGAGAUGAAUUACCUUCACCUAUUCUAUUAUGCAUAAAAUUAAAAAGUGUUUAGAGGAAGAUAAAUGCGGAGUAUAGCACUCAGAACACCUUCCCAACGUCAAGAAUGUAGGAGGACACAUUAAUUUUUUGGAAAGAUUUUUCUCUCCUAUAAAGAAAUGAGGACUUCACCUCAUUGAAAAGUGGAUCGAACAAACAAAUCCAGGAAAUCUUGGGUAAACAUCUCCUUCUCACAGCCAAGAGCACUAUAAAUCGGCCGUGUAAUGGGUAUUCCAGCACGGCAGUGAUCCAAAAUAUAAGAACGAAGCGACAAAUAAGGUCACGGAGAAGCUUAACCAGUCUCCUGAUCUUCAUUGCAUUGAAUAUAUUUAACUGUGUUCUAAAAUGUUAUGUAAUAUAUUGGGGUAUAUGAACCCCCAAUAGCUAAAGAUAGUGCUGUAUUGAGUAGUUUAGUACUUUCAAGUAUUUCAUAUAAAGAACCAUAUUAAAAUAUCUGCUGUUAUAA